rnacentral:rRNA from 1 species
AUUGAACGCUGGCGGCAGGCCUAACACAUGCAAGUCGAACGAGUGGCGGACGGGUGAGUAAUGUCUGGGAACCUGCCCGUUGGAGGGGGUUAACUACUGGAAACGUUAGCUAAUACCGCAUACCAUCGGAGGUGCCCAGAUGGGCUUAGCUAGUAGGUGGGGUAACGGCUCACCUAGGCGACGACCCCUAGCUGGUCCGAGAGGAUGACCGGCAACACUGGACUGAGGAGACGGUCCAGACUCCUACGGGAGGAAGCAGAGGGGAAUAUUGGACAAUGAGCGAAGGCCUGAUGCAGAAAUGCCGGGUGUAUGAGGAGGGCCUUGGGGUUGUAAGGUACUUUCAGAGAGGAGACGUUAAUCGACGAAGAAGAGCCGGCUAACUCCGUGCCAGCAGCCGCGGUAAUAC